ensembl:miRNA mir-8203 miscRNA
UGAACAUCAUUCAGGGCAUUACAAUUUUGUCUUUUUGUAAAUACCCCAACUGAUAUUCGAU